rnacentral:rRNA from 1 species
AUUGAACGCUGGCGGCAGGCCUAACACAUGCAAGUCGAGCGGAUGAAGGGAGCUUGCUCCUGGAAUCAGCGGCGGACGGGUGAGUGAUGCCUAGGAAUCUGCCUGGUAGUGGGGGAUAACGUCCGGAAACGGGCGCUGAUACCGCAUACGUCCUGAGGGAGAAAGUGAGGGAGCUUCGGACCUCACGCUCUCAGAUGAGCCUAGGUCGGAUUAGCUAGUUGGUGGGGUAAAGGCCUACCAAGGCGACGAUCCGUAACUGGUCUGAGAGGAUGAUCAGUCACACUGGAACUGAGACACGGUCCAGACUCCUACGGGAGGCAGCAGUGGGGAAUAUUGGACAAUGGGCGAAAGUCUGAUCCAGCAAUGCCGCGUGUGUGAAGAAGGUCUUCGGGUUGUAAAGCUCUUUUAGUUGGGAGGAACGGCAGUCAGUGAAUAUCGUGCUGUCUUGACGGUACCAACAGAAUAAGCACCGGCUAACUUCGUG